rnacentral:rRNA from 1 species
UCUAUUAAUUUUAGACUGGUAUGAAUGGUUAGACUAAGUAAUUUUGUCUUGUAAUAAUAUUUCGAAUUUUAUAUUUUAGUAAAAAAGCUAAAAUUUCUUUUAGGGACGAGAAGACCCUGUCAAGCUUUACAAAUUAGGUCAUUAUUCUUAAAAUGAUUAAAAUUUGUUUUACUGGGGCAGUAGAUAAUAAAAUUUUAUUUAUAUAUUGUGAAAGUAAAUUUUGUCAAAUCAGGAAAUUCCUAAAGAAGAAUAAGUUACUGCAGGGAUAACAGCGUAAUUCUUUUUAAGAGUUCUUAUCAUCAUUAGAGUUUGCGACCUCGAUG